rnacentral:rRNA from 1 species
GAUCAUGGCUCAGGACGAACGCUGGCGGCGUGCCUAACACAUGCAAGUCGAACGGAGAUGUUUAUUUCGGUAGACAUCUUAGUGGCGCACGGGUGAGUAACGCGUGAAUAACCUGACCCGAAGAGGGGGAUAACACUUGGAAACAAGUGCUAAUACCGCAUAAGACCACGGACCGGCAUCGGUCAGAGAUCAAAGGAGGAAUCCGCUUUGGGAGGGGUUCGCGUCCCAUUAGGUAGUUGGUGAGGUAACGGCCC